rnacentral:rRNA from 1 species
CCUACGGGGCGCAGCAGGCGCGAAAACUUUACAAUGCGGGAAACCGUGAUAAGGGAACACCGAGUGCCAGCAUCAUAUGCUGGCUGUCCAGAUGUGUAAACUACAUCUGUUAGCAAGGGCCGGGCAAGACCGGUGCCAGCCGCCGCGGUAACACCGGCGGCCCGAGUGGUGACCGUUAUUAUUGGGUCUAAAGGGUCCGUAGCCGGUUUGGUCAGUCCUCCGGGAAAUCUGAUAGCUUAACUGUUAGGCUUUCGGGGGAUACUGCCAGGCUUGGAACCGGGAGAGGUAAGAGGUACUACAGGGGUAGGAGUGAAAUCUUGUAAUCCCUGUGAGACCACCUGUGGCGAAGGCGUCUUACCAGAACGGGUUCGACGGUGAGGGACGAAAGCUGGGGGCACGAACCGGAUUAGAUACCCGGGUAGUCCCAGCCGUAAACUAUGCUCGCUAGGUGUCAGGCAUGGCGCGACCGUGUCUGGUGCCGCAGGGAAGCCGUGAAGCGAGCCACCUGGGAAGUACGGCCGCAAGGCUGAAACUUAAAGGAAUUGGCGGGGGAGCACAACAACGGGUGGAGCCUGCGGUUUAAUUGGACUCAACGCCGGACAACUCACCGGGAACGACA